GUGAGGAAUAUUGGACAAUGGGCGAGAGCCUGAACCAGCCAAGUCGCGUGAAGGAAGAAGGAUCUAUGGUUCGUAAACUUCUUUUGCAGGGGAAUAAAGUGCAGGACGUGUCCUGUUUUGUAUGUACCCUGAGAAUAAGGAUCGGCUAACUCCGUGCCAGCAGCCGCGGUAAUACGGAGGAUCCGAGCGUUAUCCGGAUUUAUUGGGUUUAAAGGGUGCGUAGGUGGUUUGAUAAGUCAGCGGUGAAAGUUUGCAGCUUAACUGUAAAAAUGCCGUUGAAACUGUCGGACUUGAGUGUAAAUGAGGUAGGCGGAAUGCGUGGUGUAGCGGUGAAAUGCAUAGAUAUCACGCAGAACUCCGAUUGCGAAGGCAGCUUACUAAGCUACAACUGACACUGAAGCACGAAAGCGUGGGGAUCAAACAGGAUUAGAUACCCUUGUAGUCC
rnacentral:rRNA from 1 species